ACUGGAUGCCAGGAGCAAAGCUGUUGUGCGAGGGGAGAGAUGAGCAGUGCUUCCUGCUCACACUGCAGAUGGGCCCUCCCAGGGCCUUCAUGGUGCAGGAACCAGACUGGGGUUUUGAGUUUUUGUUCUGUUUGUUCUUAAUAGUUUGCUGAAGCAAGUGUAAUGUGAAGCAACACUCUCCCACUCUCACACACAACAGACUCUAACCUUCAGGCUGGUGCCCUGCUGUGCUGUAUCGUAUUUCUUUUUGCAGAAGCUGCAGCUCAGCCCAGUUCUCAGUAACACUGGUUUCAACCAACUGCAGUUCCACUGUGCAAUAAAUUUUCAUCCUUCCCAGUCCGAGAAAAGAUGCUCACUGAUCUGCCAUGGUGCGAUGUAACUGCACUUAUUCUUAGUGAUCUGCUGCUCCUGUGGGCUAAUUGCAUUGGAGGGUCUGAAGUAAUUCAAGUAUUACUGGGAGCACGGUGGGUGAAGAGCGUCGUAUUUCACAGCUGAGAAGGAAUAAAUUGACUCUAGGCUUGAGCCUUGAGGGUGGAAAACCAGGAGAAGCACACAGCAGCCAUUCCACUACAAACACCCUGGUAUUUCUGUGCGGUGAUAGAUGUUACAGCUCUUACGCAUAGAAACGGAAAAUGUCUUUCCUUGUGUUCAUAAGAGAGUACUUGUUCUCUAAUUCGAAUGAACUAAAACAAACAUAAAAUAAGUUUCAAUGAAGAGCUAAGUCAGCAAUGCUAUUAGACUUUUUGGAUUUGCACCUAGUACAAGGUUGGGAUUUUGUUGAAUAACGCGGUCCAAAGGAGUUGUUAAUCUGAAGUAAAAGUGUGUGAAAAUGAAAGAUUGCUUUAUUUUUUGUGGAGAAGGUUCUAUAUUAUAAAAGAUCUGUUGACACUCAUUUGAAUACCUUUCUAA
ensembl:lncRNA